GAAUUUGUUUAAUGGGUGAGGGCCUAUUACAGCUUUUACACAGAAUUGAGGCUAAAUUUGUGCCAGCAGCCGCGGUUAUACUGGUGUUAUUAGUGGAAGUUGUUAGGUAAAUAGUUAGAGGUAAGAUUGGGUAAUUUUUGGGCCUUUGUUGGAGACGGGGUGAAAUUGUGUUUUUUGUAGGCCUUUGAUGAUUUAUUAGUAUCGAAACUGUGAAAGAGAGGUAUAGAAUAGGAUUAGACACCCUAGUAUUCUUUAUUGAAACUGAUAAUACCUGGUUAGUAUUAGUUAUGUUCUUGAAAUUCAAAGGAUUUGGCGGCAUCUUAGCCCGGUUAGAGGAACCUGUCUUUUAAACGAUAAACCACGAAAUAUCUUACUCUUUUUUGUUAUUCAGUAUGUAUACCGUCAUUUAUGAAACAACUUUUAGAAAAGUUAGUUAAUAUGGGUUUAGAUUCGUUAAAUUAGAUCAAGGUGCAGCUUAUAAGAGAGUAAAGGUGGGUUACAAUAGUUUUAAGCUAUUACGGAUCAAGGGUGUAAAAGUUUUGUGAAGGGGGAUUUAACAGUAAAAUAGGAUUAAUAAGCCUGUUUGAUGGGGGUUCUGAGAUGUGCACACAUCGCCCGUCGCUCUCAUAACAACGUGAGAUAAGUCGUAACAGAGUAGGUGUACUGGAAGGUGUACCUAGGGUUAAUGUUUUUA
rnacentral:rRNA from 1 species